UACGUAGGGGGCUAGCGUUGUCCGGAUUUAUUGGGCGUAAAGCGCGUGUAGGCGGUUUCUUAAGUCUGAUGUGAAAGCCCUGGGCUCAACCCAGGAAGUGCAUUGGAUACUGGGAGACUUGAAUACGGGAGAGGGUAGUGGAAUUCCUAGUGUAGGAGUGAAAUCCGUAGAUAUUAGGAGGAACACCGGUGGCGAAGGCGGCUACCUGGACCGAUAUUGACGCUGAGACGCGAAAGCGUGGGGAGCAAACAGG
rnacentral:rRNA from 1 species